UAAACAUUGCUUUGUUUCCAAGGCAACUCUGAGCUGUGUGAAAACACGCCAUCAUGUGACCACCAGCCACUCCAGAGUGUUUACAAAUGAACCAGGAACCAAAAUGUUCUUGUGUGUCCUCUCUCCUGCACAGACACGUCCUGUUCCUCUAUAUCAAAGCAUCUCAGCCCUGACCAAUCGUGGCACACAGAGGCACAGAGGAAACCAACAGAGCCGGAAAUGUGUCGAGAAGAACAGACGGAUCCGGUUCAGCACACCGAGUCCUGUCUAUUCCAGGUGGAGAAAGGUACCAGUUGGAGCCCACCUGGCUCUUGUUCCAACAUCGCCUCCAAGCAGCUCCUGAUCCCUAGUUUGAAUGUUUCAUUACUCAUCUAACGUUCUGGCCUAUACUUAUUUCACAGGUGUGUGAUCAACACUGGUGACUGACUCUCUGUCAGUCAGUCAGUCAGUCAGUCAGUCAGUCAGACAGACAGACAGACAGACAGACAGACACUCUAUUAUUGUUAGUAUUAUAGCCCUGUUUUUGGUGUGUGCAUAUUUUACUGGCAUUUGCAAUGCCGCUAAAAAAAAGAAGUAAGAAGUAAAAGUAACUCAGUUCAAUAAACCUACAGGAAAAUACCUGAUUGUAAUAUUUCAGAAAUUGUUGUAAAUAAAGAAAAGGAGACCAUCUUCAAGAGUAA